UGCAUUUCGUUUAUGCUUUAAUUUGUCCUUUAAUCGUUCUUCAAAAUGAUCUGAGUUUUUGCAGGUGAACGGGUUUCUGCUGGUGGGUUCUGAGCUCUUGGCUUGUCCUUGGGAGACUUCAUUUCAUGCUGUCCUCUUCUGCAGAAAACUAGAAAAGCAACAUUUAUUUCCUAUGGAAUUAUGUAAGUAUUCCAACUGCUACAACUAUUGACAGUCCAGAAUAACAGGGAAAUUUACCUUUUGCAAAUCUUCAGUGUUAGUUUAGUAUUCUUAAUUUGUAAAGGGAUGUGUUUUAAUCUCCUUUUUAUAUUCCCUCUUUUGUGCUGGAUUGAUAAUAUUUCUUAGAUGUACUAACUGAAGGUUUCACAGAGUAAGCCAUCUAUUUUAUUUUCUUCUUACUCAUGAUAUCUGCAGCCUGAAGCUGGAUGAUGAAAGAGAGGUUUGACUUCUAUCCUUUCCAUGAAGCAUAAUUAAAAAAAUAACUA
rnacentral:lncRNA from 1 species